CCUACGGGAGGCAGCAGUGAGGAAUAUUGGUCAAUGGACGAGAGUCUGAACCAGCCAAGUAGCGUGAAGGAUGACUGCCCUAUGGGUUGUAAACUUCUUUUAUAAAGGAAUAAAACGAGGCACGUGUGCCUUUUUGCAGGUACUUUAUGAAUAAGGAUCGGCUAAAUCCGUGCCAGCAGCCGCGGUAAUACGGAGGAUCCGAGCGUUAUCCGGAUUUAUUGGGUUUAAAGGGAGCGUAGAGGGGUGGUUAAGUCAGUUGUGAAAGUUUGCGGCUCAACCGUAAAAUUGCAAUUGAUACUGGCAGUCUUGAGUAUAGUUGAGGUAGGCGGAAUUCGUGGUGUAGCGGUGAAAUGCUUAGAUAUCACGAAGAACCCCGAUUGCGAAGGCAGCUUACCAAACUGUGACUGACAUUGAUGCUCGAAAGUGUGGGUAUCAAACAGGAUUAGAUACCCUAGUAGUC
rnacentral:rRNA from 1 species